rnacentral:tRNA from 1 species
GGAGAUGUGGCUCAGUUGGUAAGGUGCUUGACUAGCAUGCAUGAAGCCCUGGGUUCGAUCCCCAGCAUUACAU